rnacentral:sRNA from 1 species
UACCUGGGGGUUGUGAUGCGGCUA